rnacentral:rRNA from 1 species
UACGGAGGGUGCAAGCGUUAUCCGGAUUCACUGGGUUUAAAGGGUGCGUAGGUGGAUCUGUAAGUCUGUGGUGAAAUCUCCGAGCUUAACUUGGAAACUGCCAUGGAUACUAUAGGUCUUGAGUACUGUGGAGGUUAGCGGAAUAUGUCAUGUAGCGGUGAAAUGCUUAGAUAUGACAUAGAACACCAAUUGCGAAGGCAGCUGGCUACACAAAUAUUGACACUGAUGCACGAAAGCGUGGGGAUCAAACAGG